UACGAAGGGGGCAAGCGUUGUUCGGAAUUACUGGGCGUAAAGGGCGCGUAGGCGGCUUAUCAAGUCAGGCGUGAAAUUCCCGGGCUCAACCUGGGGGCUGCGCUUGAUACUGAUGAGCUUGAAUGCGGGAGAGGAUAGUGGAAUUCCCAGUGUAGAGGUGAAAUUCGUAGAUAUUGGGAAGAACACCGGUGGCGAAGGCGGCGAUCUGGCCCGUAAUUGACGCUGAGGCGCGAAAGCGUGGGGAGCAAACAGG
rnacentral:rRNA from 1 species